rnacentral:rRNA from 1 species
UACGUAGGGUGCAAGCGUUAAUCGGCAUUACUGGGCGUAAAGCGGGCGCAGGCGGCUUUGCAAGACAGAUGUGAAAUCCCCGGGCUUAACCUGGGAACUGCAUUUGUGACUGCAUGGCUGGAGUGCGGCAGAGGGGGAUGGAAUUCCGCGUGUAGCAGUGAGAUGCGUAGAUAUGCGGAGGAACACCGAUGGCGAAGGCAAUCCCCUGGGCCUGCACUGACGCUCAUGCACGAAAGCGUGGGGAGCAAACAGG